GCUGAAGCCCUUACUUGCAAGCUGAGAGUCAAGGACCAGGCAUCUCAAAAUACUUCUUCCCCUAACACUUGAUGAUGUUGGAACACCACCCAUUCAAAGUUUUUGUAUCCCCAAGGUGAGUGUCUUUUUUUGUGCUCAAUUUAUUCCUCCCUGUCCCACCUCUUCUAUGAGAUUUCCUCGCAGCAGCAGCAGCAAUUCUGACACUGGAACAACUUCACUGCAAAGAAGUGGGUUCUGAUACAGAGAAGGUGAGUCCCAUUUAUCUUCUGUGCAACAAAUUCCUGCAGCCUCAAAGCCUCAUUCUUCAUGAAGGGACUUCCAAGGAAUUUCAAGGGAAGCAAAAAUAGUUUCAGUUAAGUGACAUUUCUCAAGGGAGCUCUGCAGAUCCUUAUCUAUUACAGACAGGAGGGAAAUUAUGUGCAUUAUGGAUGAGAGAUACGCAGCCUUCAGAAUACCCCUGCACAAUGUAUUCAUGGUGAAUUAGCAUAUAUUCUAAUAUGUUCUAUCCCUCUGUUAUGUUUUUAAACCACCCUUCAUCCCAAGGAGAUCCCAGGUCAGCAAACUGUAAGGAAUACACACAAUUGUGUGUAUUCCUUACAAUUGUGUGUGUGUAUAUGUGUGUGCGUGUACACACACACAACUAAAAAUCAAGACAAAGCAGAACAUUCUCAGCUCGCUUUCUGAAGGAGCAGUAACAUCAUCCCCUGAUGAUGAAUGCCUGGUAACACGAGGGCAGUCUUUUGAACAGAAGAGGGUUCUACAACCAGGGUGCCACAGAAAAUAAGGUCCUAUCCCAGGUCACUGAAUUGCAAACCACAGCCAUAGGCAGAAGCACGAGUAGGGUCUCCUCCACAGAUCAUAUGGCUCAGGGUGGAAGAUAAUGGAAAAUGUUUGCUUAUAUAAAAAAGGGCAAAUCAGGGGAGCAUUGGCUGGGCAAGUGCAGAGAGUCAAUAAUGGGUGGUAGUUAUCUAAAACCUCAGAAUCCAGGUAGGUCCCCUUAAAGAGAAUAUGUACCCUCUCCACCACUUUUAGAUUGAUUAUAGGAGUUUAUAGCUUCCUCCAAUGAGGCAGUCUUGACUGUCUGCACUCCCCUGACCAGCCCUUCCUGGCUUGCUCUUUUAUGCCAAGACAGGCAAGUGUCAAGAGAACCAAUGACUGUCAUAGCAAUGUUAGUAUAAUUCUGACUGUCUGUGAGCUCAUAUGUGGGUGGGGGUGUGUUCAGGAACAGAACAGAUCCUGUUACAUUCCUUAUGACAUCAUCAGAGAUUGAAAUUGGGCUCAGAAUCAGACUUGGAAUAAACCAAGAUAUUGCCCAAGUUUGUUUGUUUUAAAAUCUUUUUUCCAAGCCUGACUGGGCGGGUUCUUUCUUCCAAUAGUAAUUCUGCACUCCUAGUAGCAAGCUAUAUUUUAAGGAAGCUGUCUGUCACUGCUGAUCAUUUCACAGAGGAACUCCCAGGAAUGCAGCUCAGAAACCACAGCUAGGAUGCUUGCUGCAUUUGGGUCACAGAUGGUAACAAACGGUGGAAUUCAACAUAAAGCUAAUACAACCAUUCCAUCAGCGUAACCAUUUCUUCUUGCCAGGUGGAACAAUCUACCCUCCCC